UACGAAGGGUGCAAACGUUGCUCGGAAUUAUUGGGCGUAAAGCGCACGUAGGCGGCAUUGCAAGUCGGAUGUGAAAUCCCUCGGCUUAACCAAGGAAGUGCAUCCGAAACUGCAGUGCUUGAGUACUUAAGAGGAUCGCGGAAUUCCCGGUGUAGAGGUGAAAUUCGUAGAUAUCGUAAGGAAGACCAGUGGCGAAGGCGGGUCUCUGGACAGUUCCUGACGCUGAGGCACGAAGGUCAGGGGAGCAAACGGG
rnacentral:rRNA from 1 species